CCCUGAAAGGGUGGAUACUAUAGACAAAAAAACUAGAGGCAAGCUGAUUAGCUUUAAUAAACUGAUAAACACAUCACUCAGUAGCUUUGCUACCUCAAGUAUAACUUCAUUAUUUAGGUAAUAAGCAACUACCGCAAACAGUAUAGAAAAGAUUACUGCAAACUUAUGCAUUGGAAAUUAAGCUUAAAAGUGACAUUGUACAAUCAGCAGCGCAUUCAGUCCACUUUUAUUGCUUUGCAAAUCGGUAUAAAGCUAUAACACUAUUAAUUUGAUAUUGAGAGG